GUUUGAAUCGUGGUUUUUUGCAGAAUCGACACUCUUCUAACUUGUCAUCUUCUUUCCAGUAGAUCAUGCAGUUGUCGAUGCAAACAUCAAUCAUCUCCGAAGGCAACCCAAGACUAUAAACCAAUUUAUGAAUCUCAUAAUAAGAUUCAGCAGACACGUUGUCUUCUGGCAAAUACUCUUUAAACAACUCCGCCCAUGCAUCCAUGCAAUUCUCAG
rnacentral:lncRNA from 1 species